rnacentral:rRNA from 1 species
ACGCGUGGAACCUUACCAGGUCUUGACAUCCUCUGACACUCCUAGAGAUAGGACGUUCCCCUUCGGGGGACAGAGUGACAGGUGGUGCAUGGUUGUCGUCAGCUCGUGUCGUGAGAUGUUGGGUUAAGUCCCGCAACGAGCGCAACCCUUGAUCUUAGUUGCCAGCAUUAAGUUGGGCACUCUAAGGUGACUGCCGGUGACAAACCGGAGGAAGGUGGGGAUGACGUCAAAUCAUCAUGCCCCUUAUGACCUGGGCUACACACGUGCUACAAUGGAUGGUACAAAGGGCAGCAAAACCGCGAGGUCGAGCCAAUCCCAUAAAACCAUUCUCAGUUCGGAUUGUAGGCUGCAACUCGCCUGCAUGAAGCUGGAAUCGCUAGUAAUCGCGGAUCAGCAUGCCGCGGUGAAUACGUUCCCGGGCCUUGCACUCACCGCCCGU